GACGAACGCUGGCGGCGUGCCUAAUACAUGCAAGUCGAACGCUGAAGGAGGAGCUUGCUUCUCUGGAUGAGUUGCGAACGGGUGAGUAACGCGUAGGUAACCUGCCUGGUAGCGGGGGAUAACUAUUGGAAACGAUAGCUAAUACCGCAUAAUAUUGACUAUUGCAUGAUAGUCAGUUGAAAGGUGCAACUGCACCACUACCAGAUGGACCUGCGUUGUAUUAGCUAGUUGGUGGGGUAACGGCUCACCAAGGCGACGAUACAUAGCCGACCUGAGAGGGUGAUCGGCCACACUGGGGCUGAGACACGGCCCAGACUCCUACGGGAGGCAGCAGUAGGGAAUCUUCGGCAAUGGACGGAAGUCUGACCGAGCAACGCCGCGUGAGUGAAGAAGGGUUUCGGAUCGUAAAGCUCUGUUGUAAGAGAAGAACGAGUGUGAGAGUGGAAAGCUCACACUGUGACGGUAUCUUACCAGAAAGGGACGGCUAACUACGUG
rnacentral:rRNA from 1 species